rnacentral:lncRNA from 1 species
AAUCCGUCACAGUAAACCAGUUUGUCAACCGAACGAUGGAUUAAAAAUGGCGUUUUAUUCCAGUAAACUAACAACAACAGACAAUUUCAUUUUCCCGACAGUAAAAAUUAGACCCAGAAGUAUAAUGGAAUAAAAAUUCUGGCACCCAUAUCCACAUUUCUCUAUUUUCUGAUACCUUGCCACAAGCGUGACAGCAGUAACAAGUUUAUAAAAAUUGCACGUCAAGAAAUGACGGUAUAAUUAAUGUUACCGUUUGUUGACUUCUGUUGUCGAAACACUACAAUGAGGGGAGUGCGACUUUGCAACAAGCCUUGCAAACUACAGGGCUUUAGUCUAAUGAUAUUCAAAAUUGAGGUUUUCUUUCAAUUUACCUGUGCGUAUUCACAAUGAGAAACUGAUUGUGUGAUGGGCGAGGAUGAAGACAUUGGGAAGUAAUAAAUAAUCCAUUCCGUUCUUUGCAUCACGUUACACAAGGGUAUAUUUCAUAACUUUCUGUACUGGUGUUCAGCAGGGUUUAGCCAAGGUGAUCCAACGUUUGGCUCAUCAGCCAAUCGGAAUAAUUUGAUGUAUUGGUAUUAUGGUUAUUUCCCAAACCAACCUCAAGCAGUCUGUUAAAUGAUUUAGGCAGCUGACAUCAAGUUCAUCUGCAAGAAUCGUCAAUCAAAAAUCGUUACCUUCACCUAUUACAUUAUCUUAUUCUUCACUUUGUAUCGUUAGCAAUUCACACUCAAUAAUAACAAAAUGUUCAAUUGAAAAUUAAUCAACUAAGCAUCUACAGGUAUGUCCGAUAUUUGAACUUAUAAUUUGACAUGAAAAUUUUACCGACUUGACCUUUGAAAAUAUCGUUUAAAAAUAUGUAGUUUUCUUGACGAAUCGUAAAUGAAACAUCGGCAUUAUUAAAAGAACAUUAAUUUGAAAAAUUUCGAUGAGGUUCCGACUAUUCAAAAUCUACGAAUAACUUUUUUCGUUUGCAGAUUUGAUUUUGCUGAGCCACAUAAUUCAGUGCAUUUCAAUUCAUAACGUUUUGUUUAUUGUAUUUUUUUAUGAUAGAUAUGUCAGGCAACCCAUAAAUGGUAUGGAUGUAUAUGAAAAAACGUCAAUUGUGAAUUAGACGUUUCCUCGUAGCUGGGUUUCAGGUGAAAAUGAAAGUAUGCAGAAUUGCAAAUUAGUUCUCCCAUAUCGUCAAGCGUAUUGAAAGUCUGACUGUAAAAAGUGAUAAUCCUAUCAGUCUUCGGGCAUACUCAACUAGCCUUUUCGCGAUGUAUACUUAGCGCUGGAGUUACAGCAGCAAGUAGCAGUAUAGCGUGAUACUUGACACUUUGACGGAUAUGGAGAGACAAUGACCAUCGCUACCCAAUGGCUCAGCUCCAUAUGAUGCGAAAUAAUUGAAUUCUAACCACCUUCGGAGCAAAUGGUAUCACACACCAACGUUUGAGAGGCAUUGCUUUACUUUUGUCUCCUAUAUUAGCACCGGACUCAUCAAAAAUGUCCUGUAUUACCCUCCAUAGCAUUUGAUUACAGUGCAAUAUAAUAAGUAACUAUAUAAACUAACAUUUUUUUCAAUUCAAUAAUUAUUGUAAUGAUUAAAAAUAACUAAUUGAUACAUAUAUAUGUAUGUAUGUGUGUGUGUAUAUAUAUAUAUAUAUAUAUACAUAUAUAUUGUAUAUAUAUAUAUAUAUAUAUAUUGUAUAUAUAUACAUAUAUAUUGUAUAUAUAUAUAUAUUAACACAUCUUAUUAUAACCACAAUGAAGAAGUUGGCUAUGGUUCUCUGUCUCUCAUUUUGUUGUAGCGAUCUUGGUAUAUAAGUAUGUUAAGUAUUUACAAUCUGAGAAAUGUCUGAUAAUUGUUGUGUAGGCACUAUGGCUUUGGACAUACGCUAAGUUUCUACGUUAGGGUACAUCCGUAAGAAGCUUCUAAAAAUGAUGUUUCUCUAUACACUCUGUGAAACAUGUUUUUGUAAACAAGUUGUAGAUAGAAUUUAGAUAAUUUACUGAUUAAAGAAACUUUCUUCUAUUCUUUUUAAAAAGCAGCUGAAGUACGAAAGGAGCAUCGAAGUGAAA